GUUUCUCAUCACAAUUCCACCUUACUUGACAACCUAUAUGUCUGAAAGAAAUUACGAUUGGAACACAUAUGAUGCGAACAUGUCGAAUCAAGAAUCCACUCCUCGUCAGUUUUAGACUCUAUGUCAAAUACUACGGUCAACAUCACAUCACCGCCAUAAAAAAAAAAUCUCGAUAACAUUAGCCUUGUCCGAAUUGAAUGAUUGUUCCCUAUGAUUUGCAGCUAAAUUACCUUUAGCCUGCAAUUUGUCACAAUUCUUUUUAACGUGUCCUCUCCUUCUGCAGUAGAAGUAGUACAAAUUGCUGAAAUUGACUUUCGAUCUACCCUUUCGUUGAUCACCAUGAGAUAUAAGGUUCAUCAUCCCUCAAUGUAGCUCCAACCAGAUAUUUCAUCAUCUUCUUUGAGAACAGAGCAUCGUAGACAUCCUCAAUGGUCAAAGUAUCACAACUAUACAGAAUGGUGUCCUGAAACGACGAAUAAGAGGUAGGCAGGGAACACAACAGGAUCAAGGCCAGAUCAUCCUCGUUGUAUUCAACCUCCGAUGUCUUUAAAUCUGCGACUAUUUUCUUGAACAGGGCAAUGUGGUCUUCCAGUGACCCUCCUUUCAUCAUGCAAUGGGAAUACAGCUUUUACUUUAGAGUUAGUUUGCUAGUGAAACUUUUAGUCAUACAUAACUGCUCC
rnacentral:lncRNA from 1 species